rnacentral:rRNA from 1 species
GGGUUGUGAGGUUAAGCGACUAAGCGUACACGGUGGAUGCCCUGGCAGUCAGAGGCGAUGAAGGACGUGCUAAUCUGCGAUAAGCGUCGGUAAGGUGAUAUGAACCGUUAUAACCGGCGAUUUCCGAAUGGGGAAACCCAGUGUGAUUCGUCACACUAUCAUUAACUGAAUCCAUAGGUUAAUGAGGCGAACCGGGGGAACUGAAACAUCUAAGUACCCCGAGGAAAAGAAAUCAACCGAGAUUCCCCCAGUAGCGGCGAGCGAACGGGGAGGAGCCCAGAGCCUGAAUCAGUGUGUGUGUUAGUGGAAGCGUCUGGAAAGGCGCGCGAUACAGGGUGACAGCCCCGUACACAAAAAUGCACAUACUGUGAGCUCGAUGAGUAGGGCGGGACACGUGGUAUCCUGUCUGAAUAUGGGGGGACCAUCCUCCAAGGCUAAAUACUCCUGACUGACCGAUAGUGAACCAGUACCGUGAGGGAAAGGCGAAAAGAACCCCGGCGAGGGGAGUGAAAAAGAACCUGAAACCGUGUACGUACAAGCAGUGGGAGCCUCUUUAUGGGGUGACUGCGUACCUUUUGUAUAAUGGGUCAGCGACUUAUAUUCUGUAGCAAGGUUAACCGAAUAGGGGAGCCGAAGGGAAACCGAGUCUUAACUGGGCGUUAAGUUGCAGGGUAUAGACCCGAAACCCGGUGAUCUAGCCAUGGGCAGGUUGAAGGUUGGGUAACACUAACUGGAGGACCGAACCGACUAAUGUUGAAAAAUUAGCGGAUGACUUGUGGCUGGGGGUGAAAGGCCAAUCAAACCGGGAGAUAGCUGGUUCUCCCCGAAAGCUAUUUAGGUAGCGCCUCGUGAAUUCAUCUCCGGGGGUAGAGCACUGUUUCGGCAAGGGGGUCAUCCCGACUUACCAACCCGAUGCAAACUGCGAAUACCGGAGAAUGUUAUCACGGGAGACACACGGCGGGUGCUAACGUCCGUCGUGAAGAGGGAAACAACCCAGACCGCCAGCUAAGGUCCCAAAGUCAUGGUUAAGUGGGAAACGAUGUGGGAAGGCCCAGACAGCCAGGAUGUUGGCUUAGAAGCAGCCAUCAUUUAAAGAAAGCGUAAUAGCUCACUGGUCGAGUCGGCCUGCGCGGAAGAUGUAACGGGGCUAAACCAUGCACCGAAGCUGCGGCAGCGACACUAUGUGUUGUUGGGUAGGGGAGCGUUCUGUAAGCCUGUGAAGGUGUACUGUGAGGUAUGCUGGAGGUAUCAGAAGUGCGAAUGCUGACAUAAGUAACGAUAAAGCGGGUGAAAAGCCCGCUCGCCGGAAGACCAAGGGUUCCUGUUCAACGUUAAUCGGGGCAGGGUGAGUCGACCCCUAAGGCGAGGCCGAAAGGCGUAGUCGAUGGGAAACAGGUUAAUAUUCCUGUACUUGGUGUUACUGCGAAGGGGGGACGGAGAAGGCUAUGUUGGCCGGGCGACGGUUGUCCCGGUUUAAGCGUGUAGGCUGAUUUUCCAGGCAAAUCCGGAAAAUCAAGGCUGAGGCGUGAUGACGAGGCACUACGGUGCUGAAGCAACAAAUGCCCUGCUUCCAGGAAAAGCCUCUAAGCAUCAGGUAACAUCAAAUCGUACCCCAAACCGACACAGGUGGUCAGGUAGAGAAUACCAAGGCGCUUGAGAGAACUCGGGUGAAGGAACUAGGCAAAAUGGUGCCGUAACUUCGGGAGAAGGCACGCUGAUAUGUAGGUGAAGCGACUUGCUCGUGGAGCUGAAAUCAGUCGAAGAUACCAGCUGGCUGCAACUGUUUAUUAAAAACACAGCACUGUGCAAACACGAAAGUGGACGUAUACGGUGUGACGCCUGCCCGGUGCCGGAAGGUUAAUUGAUGGGGUUAGCGGUAACGCGAAGCUCUUGAUCGAAGCCCCGGUAAACGGCGGCCGUAACUAUAACGGUCCUAAGGUAGCGAAAUUCCUUGUCGGGUAAGUUCCGACCUGCACGAAUGGCGUAAUGAUGGCCAGGCUGUCUCCACCCGAGACUCAGUGAAAUUGAACUCGCUGUGAAGAUGCAGUGUACCCGCGGCAAGACGGAAAGACCCCGUGAACCUUUACUAUAGCUUGACACUGAACAUUGAGCCUUGAUGUGUAGGAUAGGUGGGAGGCUUUGAAGUGUGGACGCCAGUCUGCAUGGAGCCGACCUUGAAAUACCACCCUUUAAUGUUUGAUGUUCUAACGUUGGCCCCUGAUCGGGGUUGCGGACAGUGUCUGGUGGGUAGUUUGACUGGGGCGGUCUCCUCCUAAAGAGUAACGGAGGAGCACGAAGGUUGGCUAAUCCUGGUCGGACAUCAGGAGGUUAGUGCAAUGGCAUAAGCCAGCUUGACUGCGAGCGUGACGGCGCGAGCAGGUGCGAAAGCAGGUCAUAGUGAUCCGGUGGUUCUGAAUGGAAGGGCCAUCGCUCAACGGAUAAAAGGUACUCCGGGGAUAACAGGCUGAUACCGCCCAAGAGUUCAUAUCGACGGCGGUGUUUGGCACCUCGAUGUCGGCUCAUCACAUCCUGGGGCUGAAGUAGGUCCCAAGGGUAUGGCUGUUCGCCAUUUAAAGUGGUACGCGAGCUGGGUUUAGAACGUCGUGAGACAGUUCGGUCCCUAUCUGCCGUGGGCGCUGGAGAACUGAGGGGGGCUGCUCCUAGUACGAGAGGACCGGAGUGGACGCAUCACUGGUGUUCGGGUUGUCAUGCCAAUGGCACUGCCCGGUAGCUAAAUGCGGAAGAGAUAAGUGCUGAAAGCAUCUAAGCACGAAACUUGCCCCGAGAUGAGUUCUCCCUGACUCCUUGAGAGUCCUGAAGGAACGUUGAAGACGACGACGUUGAUAGGCCGGGUGUGUAAGCGCAGCGAUGCGUUGAGCUAACCGGUACUAAUGAACCGUGAGGCUUAACCUUACAACGCCGAAG